rnacentral:rRNA from 1 species
UACGAAGGGGGCUAGCGUUGCUCGGAAUCACUGGGCGUAAAGCGCGCGCAGGCGGCUAUCCAAGUCAGUGGUGAAAGCCCGGAGCUCAACUCCGGAACUGCCAUUGAAACUGUUUAGCUUGAGGACGAGAGAGGUGAGUGGAAUUCCCAGUGUAGAGGUGAAAUUCGUAGAUAUUGGGAAGAACACCGGUGGCGAAGGCGGCUCACUGGCUCGUUUCUGACGCUCAGGCGCGAUAGCGUGGGGAGCAAACAGG